AAAGUGAUUUCUCGCACAUCGCUGCUCGCCUGCCCCAUCGUCGCCUCGCGCCGACGUCCCCAACUCCGUCCGAUGACGUCUUCCACCAGCCACACUAGUGCAAAAGAUGACUAUCUGGUGUUAUCCCCAAAGAUUAAUUGUCACCUUGUCAAGAGAUCUACAAAACGACUUCAUACCCUGCUUUGCCGUUCUUGAGUGCUUUCCCGGAGAUUGGAGCAACAAGUUUAUUUUUCAAUUGCAACUGCUUUGUCAUCCUUGAGUGACUCCUGGGAAAUUGCAGAACAACGACCAUGUGUGUUCAUUAUACUACGUUAAUACUUAUGUUUAUUUCUUUAUCUUUUGGAUGUUCGAUAUUCUGGAUUUUGGAUGUGUUGGUACUUAUUUGAUAAGGUUGUUAGGGGUAAAAUAUUACAUUUAUGUUUCUGGCGUGUUGGAAACAUUGUUGGAUCAGUGUCAUUUUGUAUAUUGUUUUUAUAAUUUUUGUAUUUGAUAUAAAAACAGG